rnacentral:rRNA from 1 species
GGAAUAUUGCACAAUGGGCGAAAGCCUGAUGCAGCGACGCCGCGUGAGGGAUGACGGCCUUCGGGUUGUAAACCUCUUUCAGUAGGGAAGAAGGACUUCGGUUUGACGGUACCUGCAGAAAAAGCACCGGCUAACUACGUGCCAGCAGCCGCGGUAAUACGUAGGGUGCAAGCGUUGUCCGGAAUUAUUGGGCGUAAAGAGCUCGUAGGCGGUUUGUCGCGUCUGCUGUGAAAACCCGAGGCUCAACCUCGGGCCUGCAGUGGGUACGGGCAGACUAGAGUGCGGUAGGGGAGAAUGGAAUUCCUGGUGUAGCGGUGGAAUGCGCAGAUAUCAGGAGGAACACCGAUGGCGAAGGCAGUUCUCUGGGCCGUUACUGACGCUGAGGAGCGAAAGCGUGGGGAGCGAACAGGAUUAGAUACCCCAG